ensembl:lncRNA
AGAACUUUCCUAGGAUAAACCAGGCCACAUUCAGUUUAAAAAUGAGACAUGGCCCAGGCACCUGCAAAUCACCUGAGGAUGUUCCUGCUAAGCAAAAUUACCGUGUCUCUUAAACAGUACUUAUUGAGUACAUUUGGCUUUAUUAGUUCUCUGGGCAAUUUCCCGAUUAGAAACAUCCUGAUUAAGCGGAAAAUGAUACACUGCCUCUGCAUUCCCUGUGAACAACAUAUGGUAGUUUACUACCUAAGCAUACACAGAGGCUAAGCAGAACACAAAGAAGAGGAGGGACUUGGAUACUACUAACGGCUGUUUUCUGAACACGGACAGUAACUGACAACUUGGCCUCCAUCUCCUUGCACAAUCCAGUCUGACACCUUUGCCUCAAUGGGAAUAAUCCAUUAGAGAAUAGCAAGAUGCCAUAAAAAGCACACACCUUUUCUUUCUCACAUACACAGCGUUCAAAGGCAGGCACCACUGUUCACAUUGCUUUCCUAAUGGGCUGCCAGAAGCAGGAACCAGUUCCUGCCAGAGGUUGCGUUACUUUGAUGGAGGUUGACCAACAGAGCAAAAUGCAGUAUUCAACAGAAUACCUUUACUGCAUUAAAAUGACAGCAGCAGCCACCAAACAGUGGCAUGAGAUUAUGCAGCCUGAAGGAUAGGAGGGUCCUGACUGUGUUCUGAACACCCCUCAAACUGCAAACUACCACACCUUCCAGGACACUAUUUCCCAGGUCAGCUAGAGGAAACCCACCGAGGCUGUGUAUGGAUAACUUAACAAAUGAACUGGGACACAACGGACAGCUUAAACUCUGGACUUCAUUAUGAUCAAAACACAAACACAAGUCAAACACAUACCAAACAAGCAUCAAUCAAAGUAUUGAUGUUGUCACACUAGAUUGUCUCCUUCUGAUGAUAAACUCUCGGGAGGUGAAGAAACUAGGUGAAUUCCAACAGAAAGGUCAUGUAAUACGACUGUACAAAACCAAAACAGAAGAAACAGAAUUCAAACACAAAAGCUGAUUUCUAAGAAACCCCAAAACUAAAUACACUUCACCUCUCUCAACCCUUGAGAUGCAACUGUCUUUGGUAGAUUUUCCCAAUACACACAUACCAGCUAAAAUUAGGCUCAUGAUUGUGACUCAUCCAAGUGGCUGCCAAUCUCUUAGUUAAAAAAAGAAACAAUUCCAGCAGUUGUGUACCGCGCACAGUCCUUUGCGGCACAAGAUGCUUGAAUCCAAACUGGAGCAAAGCAGCUUCAUGGCUUUGGAGCAAAAAAACAACAUAUGCAGUGCAUUUCUUUAAACUCACCAUCCUUUCUGAUACAUUAUUUACAGCCACAGAAAACACAACUGCCCGUGCUGAUUCUGCUCAACAGCUGGGUUUUGAAAGAUUGAUCAAGUAUCUGAUAAACCCAUUUGCUUCAGGAGCAUUUUUCUAGCAGUCAAAAUGAUUCUGUGCCUGUACUGGUUCUCUACCUGUUAAAGAAAACCUGCACCAUGUUAAUCAAAAUAGACAACAUUUCCAGUGUUAACCCAAUCACGUGAAAAGCACUGUCACACCUCUGUAUCAAAGCACACCAAACCAAACCGAGCCUGACUUCAGACAGUCUCAUCAGGAGCCAAGGGAAAAAUUGUUUCUGAGCAAUUAUGUCUGUUUAAACUGGAAUCUUCUACUGCAAAGAACCGCACCUUCCAAUGGUGGUAAGCAGUCAGCUCAUGUUUAACUCACUGGAAGCAAGAGACAGCCAGUACUUCUGGACAUUAACUCCCUAAAGAAUAAAUUAUAACAGAAGGAAUCCAGCAGGGCUGCCACUACAUUUAAAGACAAAAUUCCCAUUGAAUUCAGCAAGACAAGAGUAGGCUUUGAUACACGUUCCACAAAGUUGCAGCAGACUUUGGUCUGUCCCCAAAAGGGGCAGAGUUUUCACAGCACUCACAAAACGGAAGGGAGAGGGAUACUAGAAUUGAAGACACUUCUGCCUGCAAACAGCAUUAUAUUCACUGGGAAGUUCUUUUUUAACGCGCAUGCUCUGGAGCUUAACUCUGUAACAACCUGAAAGCUGUAAUUGUACUUAUUAAAAUCAAAUCCAGACCUUUAAAGUGUGUCACGAAACUCGCUGCCUUUGUUUUAUGAAGCAAGAU